GGGAAAUCAAAUCGUUUUAUGAUGCAGCAGCAGUGAGGCAGGGUGACCUGCUGCUUAAAUUAUAUUAGGUGUAACGAAUCUCUAGGAUCAAAACCGGAGCCAGUGCAGUCCAGGAACCUGUUGAAGAGCUCUUUAGAGAAGAAAACUAUUAAUACAAAAAAAACUAAGACCAGGAACAGGAUGGUGUCCAGUAUCCCGACGAGGUACCUUUCAACUCAUCAUCACUAUCACUGCUUCGCCGAAGAAUUGUAAGCAUAACAACUUCGCUUCGCCUUCAUCAGAGCUUCGCUUCGCUUCUGCUUACCAUAGACUAAAUGCUUUGGAGAUGGUAAUAGUUAGGUGUUAAUGAUAAAAUGAAGCGAAAUUUAAUUAAAAAUUGAAACUGACGAGUUAUAUUGCAAUUAUUUACAUGUCUUCAAAUCUAACAUUCAUAAAAUUAACUAAAAAUCGCGGGUUACUCACUGACAAAAGCUCUACUUCUUUCGAGCCACAAUGGGACGCUUGCUCACGAGCAGCGAUUUUUAGUUAAUUUAGUAUGACGUCUCACAAUCUUGU